rnacentral:rRNA from 1 species
CUACGGGUUGCUCCAGUGAGGAAUAUUGCACAAUGGGGGGAACCCUGAUGCAGCGACGCCGCGUGGAGGAUGACGCAUUUCGGUGUGUAAACUCCUUUUAUAUGUCAAGAAAAUGACGGUAGCAUAUGAAUAAGCACCGGCUAACUCCGUGCCAGCAGCCGCGGUAAUACGGAGGGUGCAAGCGUUACUCGGAAUCACUGGGCGUAAAGGACGCGUAGGCGGGCUUGUAAGUCAGGUGUGAAAUCCUACAGCUUAACUGUAGAACUGCGCUUGAAACUUCUAAUCUAGAGUAUGGGAGGGGGAGAUGGAAUUAGUGGUGUAGGGGUAAAAUCCGUAGAUAUCACUAGGAAUACCUAAAGCGAAGGCGAUCUCCUGGAACAUUACUGACGCUAAGGCGUGAAAGCGUGGGGAGCAAACAGGAUUAGAUACCCCAGUAGUC